GACGAACGCUGGCGGCGUGCCUAAUACAUGCAAGUCGAACGAACUCUGGUAUUGAUUGGUGCUUGCAUCAUGAUUUACAUUUGAGUGAGUGGCGAACUGGUGAGUAACACGUGGGAAACCUGCCCAGAAGCGGGGGAUAACACCUGGAAACAGAUGCUAAUACCGCAUAACAACUUGGACCGCAUGGUCCGAGCUUGAAAGAUGGCUUCGGCUAUCACUUUUGGAUGGUCCCGCGGCGUAUUAGCUAGAUGGUGGGGUAACGGCUCACCAUGGCAAUGAUACGUAGCCGACCUGAGAGGGUAAUCGGCCACAUUGGGACUGAGACACGGCCCAAACUCCUACGGGAGGCAGCAGUAGGGAAUCUUCCACAAUGGACGAAAGUCUGAUGGAGCAACGCCGCGUGAGUGAAGAAGGGUUUCGGCUCGUAAAACUCUGUUGUUAAAGAAGAACAUAUCUGAGAGUAACUGUUCAGGUAUUGACGGUAUUUAACCAGAAAGCCACGGCUAACUACGUGCCAGCAGCCGCGGUAAUACGUAGGUGGCAAGCGUUGUCCGGAUUUAUUGGGCGUAAAGCGAGCGCAGGCGGUUUUUUAAGUCUGAUGUGAAAGCCUUCGGCUCAACCGAAGAAGUGCAUCGGAAACUGGGAAACUUGAGUGCAGAAGAGGACAGUGGAACUCCAUGUGUAGCGGUGAAAUGCGUAGAUAUAUGGAAGAACACCAGUGGCGAAGGCGGCUGUCUGGUCUGUAACUGACGCUGAGGCUCGAAAGUAUGGGUAGCAAACAGGAUUAGAUACCCUGGUAGUCCAUACCGUAAACGAUGAAUGCUAAGUGUUGGAGGGUUUCCGCCCUUCAGUGCUGCAGCUAACGCAUUAAGCAUUCCGCCUGGGGAGUACGGCCGCAAGGCUGAAACUCAAAGGAAUUGACGGGGGCCCGCACAAGCGGUGGAGCAUGUGGUUUAGUUCGAAGCUACGCGAAGAACCUUACCAGGUCUUGACAUACUAUGCAAAUCUAAGAGAUUAGACGUUCCCUUCGGGGACAUGGAUACAGGUGGUGCAUGGUUGUCGUCAGCUCGUGUCGUGAGAUGUUGGGUUAAGUCCCGCAACGAGCGCAACCCUUAUUAUCAGUUGCCAGCAUUAAGUUGGGCACUCUGGUGAGACUGCCGGUGACAAACCGGAGGAAGGUGGGGAUGACGUCAAAUCAUCAUGCCCCUUAUGACCUGGGCUACACACGUGCUACAAUGGAUGGUACAACGAGUUGCGAACUCGCGAGAGUAAGCUAAUCUCUUAAAGCCAUUCUCAGUUCGGAUUGUAGGCUGCAACUCGCCUACAUGAAGUCGGAAUCGCUAGUAAUCGCGGAUCAGUAUGCCGCGGUGAAUACGUUCCCGGGCCUUGUACACACCGCCCGUCACACCAUGAGAGUUUGUAACACCCAAAGUCGGUGGGGUAACCUUUUAGGAACCAGCCGCCUAAGGUGGGACAGAUGAUUAGGGUG
rnacentral:rRNA from 1 species